UCUCUGUGGGUACGACCUUACUCAUCACUAUUGCAAUUAAUAAGAGUAAGUAAUUUAUUAUUUGUUGGAUUCGACACCAAUCAACUAUACGCAUAUAAUUUUAUUUUGAUGAGC